CUGAAAACUUCCGGAAAGCGAACGUGGGGGGAAAUAGGGUUGCCAAACCAUCUAGGAUUGGUUUAGAGUCCCCAGGAAUCAGUAUUAAUCGACAGGAGACUACAGUAUUUAAAGCAAUCCUGAGUUGCUUCAUGUGAAGAAUGCGGGGUGGGGUGAAUAGGAAUAGCUUGAGUCAAAGUUGGAAACUUUACUACUUUACUGAUGUUUAAUUACAUCAAUAAUCAUGUAAUCAUUGUGAAGGGUAAUUUUAGCCCGCUUUCUUUAAAAUGAAAGAUUAGCCUGUAUUAAGUAAUAGAGUCCUUUUAUUCUCGAGAAUGAGCUGGGAGAAAUCACAGGCUCUGUGUCCUAGUAGCACAGAGGUCUCUGAUCCCUCGCCCCACAGACUCUCUUCCUGAGGCUGAGUACGAAGAUUCCUAUAACUUUGCAAGCUGCAUAACUGACAGCAGCGUAGCAGAUGGCUGAGAUGAACUACAAGCCUGCUUACUACAUGAACAAAAAUGCAACAGGAGGUAAAGCAGCUUGAAAACCUUUCCCUUCCCCCAGCACCAACAUGAAAUGGGACUGAACUGAUAGCUAGGAUUAAUAUUUUAUAACCCAAGAAAAUAAGUACUCUCUGCAGGCUUCUGUUAGGUCCUAAUGCUGACCACAUGUUUCAUUCAGGAUGUUUUCCUGACCAUAGUUAACCUAUUUCCAAGAGGUACAGUAUCUAUUUGCUGUCUAUAUGUACUAGUUGCUAAUAUGUACUGAAUUUGUAUGUAAUGAUGGAGCAUAUCAUCUAAAAAUAACUACUUGACUUCUAAAUACCAGUGUUUAAUUUCUAGAUCUAAUACUGAAACAACUUUUGUAGCAAAUAUUGAGUUCUGAAUAAUAUAGUAGGCUUGUUCCCACAUUAACCAUAAACUGGGUAGGAGACAAAUAUCCUGCCCAGCUUUGGGAACUAUGCACGCUCCUAAUUUUUUUUAUCAUGUGCAGGUAGAUAAGAGGAGGGGGAAUGAUCAUGUGAGAGCCUCUUGCUAGGAAGGAUAAUGCCAUCCUACCCAGCACCUGCACGUAGCUGUUUACUGAGGUAGGAGGAAAAGCUGGCCUACCCAGUAUGAGGCUUCCACACAGUCACUCCCCCCUCCACCUACCUAGGUUUUUACUCGCACAUGAUAAAAAAUCAGAAGCUCUCACAGCUCCCAAAUCUGGGCAGCGCACUUGUCCUACCCGGUUUUUGAUAAUGUGAACUGCCUUAGUAUUUGGUAUUGGGUUUGUAUGACACUCAAAACAUGCACAGAUUUCUGUCACAUAAAUGUAAAACUGUUUUAUAGUUGUUAGGGAGAAAGUACAGUUUGGAAUUAAUCAUUUCAAUGUAAUGGUGUCACCUGAAUCAUGUCAUCACCUAUUAUUUAUCUUAACUAUAAUUUAGUUCCAGACCAGUAUAUUGGCAACCAGCAGGGUCCUGUUGGCUAUACUAGUAGUAGUACUCUGGCUGACCUCUGUUUCGCCUUCAUUAACUAACGUCCUCUGUAGCCUCAUCAACCGAUUACCGCUGCUUCUUCAAAGUGAUGUCAGCUUACAUUUGUGUCCUGGAACAAUGUUUGCCUCUGACUGUGCUAACUACCUCAA